rnacentral:tRNA from 1 species
CAGGGAAUAGUUUAAAUAGAAUUUCAGCUUUGGGUGCUGAUGGUGGGGCUGUUGCUCCUUCCUGAA